CCUGCCUUUCUCUCACCAGUACCUGCAGGUGCCUCAGGGAAGCAGAGGCUCAGAUCUUAAUCUGCCCUCUGCCACCAGCCAGCCAGUCUCCUCCCAGCAGGUGCAGUCGUGGGGUCACCCUGCGCUUCUCUCCACCAGUUGGGAAGCAGAACCAUGCUGGGUCCCCUUGCCAUCCUGUGCGCCCUCCUGUUUCCUGGCAGUGGAGCAGGGCUCAAGCUGGAUCAGCCAGAUGUGGUCGUGGAGCGGUUGGGCAAGACGGCCAGCCUGCCAUGCAAAGUCGACACCCGGGUCAGCUACAUCCACUGGUACCGCUACCAGGAGGGUAGUGCCCCACAGAGGCUCCUCUACUUUGACGUGUCUGGGUCAUUUGCAAGGAGGGAUUUGGUCCUGAAAGCAGACAAAGUCAAUGCCAAGAAGGGCAGGGAUGGCUACAGCUGUAACCUGUCUGUGCUGAAGCUGGAGAAGAGCGACGAGGGCGUGUACUACUGCGCUGCCUGGGAAGCGCGGAAGAACUGGAAGAAAACCAAAGUGUUUGGUCCUGGCACAAUGCUCAGGGUUACAGAUAAAAGCCCUGAUGAAGACAUAUCCCCCAAGCCCACAAUUUUUUUUCCUUCAAUUGCUGAAAUAAAAGUCCAGAAGGCUGGAACAUAUCUUUGUCUUCUUGAGGAUUUUUUCCCUGAUGUUAUCAAGAUAGAUUGGAAAGAAAAGGAUGGCAAAACAGUUCUGACAUCCCAGCAGGGAGACACCGUGAAGACUGAGGACACGUACAUGAAAUUCAGUUGGCUGACCUUGACUGAAGCGUCGUUGGAUAAAGAACACAAAUGUAUCGUCAAACAUGAUAAAAAUAAAAAGGGGGUUGAUCAAGAGAUUCUUUUUCCUUCAAUAGACAAAGAUUUGGUGGCAGCAAUGGAAUCCGAAGCAGACUCCAGGGGGCAUUCAGAGACAAAGCAAAACACAGACGUGGUAACUGUGAGCCCUUCGAGUUCAGGAUCUUUCUCUCCUGUUCCAAGGGCUGUGGAUCCAUUGCUACUGAUCAUUUCUCUGGCAGAGAUGGCUAUUGUCUUCCUGCUGGUGGCAUCCCGCAUGACUGCUCUUAGCGUUCUGUCUGCCGAGGACGUGCGGCUUGUUGGUUCUUCCUUUGGCUCUCACUGCGAGUGACUCUGGAUCUCGGGAGGGUGAUAUCCUUUGCACCUUCUUUGGGAAUCCUGGGAACAUGGAUAUUAUUCCAUCUGCCAGAAAUCCUUGAAGUUAAAACUAUGCACCCAGAGGGAAGGACGCACAUUGAGGCUCGUGAGCUUGGGCCUAUAUCUCAAAUCCAUUUCUUCAAGAGCACAACAAAAAUAAGAUUGUGUGGAGUGCAUAAAAUUGCAUACCAGAACCAUGUCUGUGUGGACAAGGACACACGGAGCAGAAAAAGGACAAACCGAAACAACCUGGCAACUCUCUCUUCCCGCAUCCAGUGGUCAAUGAUCAUUUUAAGGAUUUUUGUCUUUGUAUGUAUGUUGGGUGAUUUGUUUUGUUCUGUUUGUUUUGUCUUUCUACACGGUAGGUAAGUACAGCUCUCACCCCAGGUUUUAUGUAUUUAGACGGCUAUCAGUGUGCCUUGGCCUGUCAUUCUAUCCCUGCUCAAAUGCUGAGCUUCUGUAAUAAAAAGGUCAUUUGCUAAGACUAAUGAAGAUAUCUGGAAGAGAUGAUGUCUGAGAGGCCACAAUGGUGGAGUUAUGUUUGAUUUCUAUGGGUUGUUUUACAAGGUGCUUUCCACCUGCUCCAAUUCAUUUAAACGCCCACAACCAUGCUCUGAGUGCAGGCUCUGACAAUCACUGGUACGAUUCUUGGCAAGGUACUUGGAAUCGUAAAUCUUACUUCAUUCCGUGUAUAUGGAGUCCUCCAAAUACAGCCUGUAUCAGUGUAACAGAGAGAUCAGAUGAGACAAUGCCUGUGAACUUUCACAUAGUGCCUGGCACAGUAAUAACCACUCAAUAGAUUUUGGCCUUCAUUAGUAUUAUUGUCAUGACUUCAAACACCACCCACCACUCCAGAGAAACAUGUGCAGGAGUUGAGGAUACUGGGGCAUGCGUGAUUUGAAACAAAGGACUGCUUUCUUUUGCUUAGAGGGGAAAUUUACCUAAACCAAACUCCUUCGAACAUGUACGAUUCUGCUGUGGAUUCUAGGGAUGGACAAAUUUAUUUUGGUAGCAACCCUUCAUGUCAGCAGUGGGUGCUGAGGACUGUCGAUCAGCCAAUGUUUCUGGUUAUUUUUCCUUUCAACAAGUAUUUAUAGAUCACCUAUUUUGCAGGAGGCUCUGUGCUAGGAGCUAUGAUCACAGAAGCAAAACAAGAUGGUGUUCAGCACUUACCCUCCAGUUGUGACAAAAAAGAAAAAAAGUACAUCUUUCAUGAACUUCAGCAACUUCCUGUACAGAAAUGUAUUAUAUGAAUUGAUCUGCUGAAUUUCACAGACUCAGAACAAUCGUUUCUGGAAUCGUGGGGCAUUUUAGUAACGGCUCUCUCCUCUUUGUUUACAAAUUCUAUCAUCUAUCAUCUAUCUAUCAUCUAUCUAUCCAUCCAUCCAUCUAUCCACAACACAGACACAUGUAAAAGUAUGGUUAUGAACAAUUGAAUAAUACUUGCUCUCAUUUCUUUUAGAGCUCACUGCUAUUAACUCCACAGAUGCUUCUCUGAAUGAUGAAAAUGACACCCUGCAGCUACAGCUCACGAACACGUCUGCCUACUACACUUACCUCCUUCUCCUUGUGAAGACCCUGGUCUACUCCGCCAUCAUUGCCAUCUGUCUG